GGGGGCGAAACGGAUUAGACAUUUGUUCGAGAACCUUAAGUGCAUGCCGAGCAGGUAACAAGCUCGAUAAAAUAAGUUGCAAAACAUUUAGUUGGCAAUAAAGCAAACUACGCACUAGCUGCAUAAUUCGGCUAGCUUUUUUAACCCGACACCUAUUAGGGUUUAAAAAAGUCAUUUAAUAGGUUGCUUGAGAAAAUUUGUCUGAUAUUUUCUCAAAAAGAUUUUCAGACUGCUUUUAAAAAAUCCUGCUCAUCGGAGUUUUUAAAAGGAGAUUAAAAGAUGAAACUAAGCAUGUAGAUCUGACGGGGAUGGAUUGAUGGACGCGGGUUCGAUACCCGCCGCCUCCACCA
rnacentral:tmRNA from 1 species